rnacentral:rRNA from 1 species
UACGUAGGCAGCAAGCGUUGUUCGGAGUUACUGGGCGUAAAGGGUGUGUAGGCGGUUGUUUAAGUUUGGUGUGAAAUCUCCCGGCUCAACUGGGAGGGUGCGCCGAAUACUGAAUGACUAGAGUGUGGGAGAGGUGAGUGGAAUUCCUGGUGUAGCGGUGAAAUGCGUAGAUAUCAGGGGGAACACCGGUGGUGUAGGCGGCUCACUGGACCAUAACUGACGCUGAGACACGAAAGCGUGGGUAGCAAACAGG